rnacentral:rRNA from 1 species
GACGAACGCUGGCGGCGUGCUUAACACAUGCAAGUCGAACGGAAAGGAACUGCUUUUGUGGGGUGCUCGAGUGGCGAACGGGUGAGUAACACGUGAGUAACCUGCCCUUGACUUUGGGAUAACUUCAGGAAACUGGGGCUAAUACCGGAUAGGAGCUCCUGCUGCAUGGUGGGGGUUGGAAAGUUUCGGCGGUUGGGGAGGGACUCGCGGCUUAUCAGCUUGUUGGUGGGGUAGUGGCUUACCAAGGCGUUGACGGGUAGCCGGCCUGAGAGGGUGACCGGCCACAUUGUGACUGAGAUAGGGCCCAGACUCCAACGGGAGGCAGUUGGGGGGAAUAAUGCUCAAAGGGCGGAAGUCUGAUGCAGCAACGCCGCGUGCGGGAUAACGGCCUUCCGGUUGUAAACCGAUUUCGCCUGUGACGAAGCGUAAGUGACGGUAAUGGGUAAAGAAGCACCGGCUAAAUACGUG